UACGUAGGGGGCGAGCGUUGUCCGGAUUUAUUGGGCGUAAAGAGCUCGUAGGCGGCUUGGCAAGUCGGGUGUGAAACCUCCAGGCUCAACCUGGAGACGCCACUCGAUACUGCCAUGGCUAGAGUCCGGUAGGGGACCACGGAAUUCCUGGUGUAGCGGUGAAAUGCGCAGAUAUCAGGAGGAACACCAGCGGCGAAGGCGGCGCUCUGGGCCGGAACUGACGCUGAGGAGCGAAAGCGUGGGGAGCAAACAGG
rnacentral:rRNA from 1 species